CACGCCCGGUCGUACUCAUAACCGCA
rnacentral:ncRNA from 3 species